UACUAAGUGAAACGGGAAGAGAAAGAAAUGCAAGGAUUUUCUCCAGUUGCAAUCUAACAUAGCUAGCUAAUUUAUAUGAAAUUAUAUUUUGUAGAAGGAACGUAGACCGCUAAUUAAAUAGGUGAGUUUUUCAAUCUGGAUCAAUGGCUCUACCAACCCUCUCUGCCCACAUUGGCCGAGUCGAGUUCGUUCUCUGGAAAGCCAGAUGGUGCGGCAGGGGGAACAGGAGGCACGUUGGCGGCAACACUGGGAGCUGCACGCAAUGCACUAAAGACAACAACAGAACAUUGAGGAGUACUGCAGACUCCUGCCAGACCUGUUGUAGUAGGAGCAGGGGGACCAGAGGCUGGAGAGGGCGGUGGCAGACGCCGCCAGGAAGAAGCAUGUCAUCGAGGAAUAGCUCCAGUUGGAGAGGUGGUGGGAGGCUGUUUGCUGUCCUGUACAGGGAGAAGUCCCAGCGUGUUUGGGAGAAGUUGGAGGCAGAGUAGGAGAGGAGAGCCAGGGAGAGGCUCAUGCAGGAGGUGGCGCAGUGGGAGGAGCAGCGCCAGAGGGGGCAGGUGAAGGAGAGGGAUGCUCUAAGGCUGCAGGAGGAAAAGCGGAGGCUGGAGACUCGUAGGAUGGCCCAGCAGGGCUACCAGGACAUGGUACUGGUCCAGUUCCAUUAGGGCAAGCAAAGCCAACGUUUUUACCUGAUUUUUAGCAGACCUGAUCAGCCUGGACAUGAGGAUACCGUGAGGCCAAAAGACAAUCCUAUCAUGUUUUUAUACACAAUUAUUCUUAACGGGUUUAAGAUGUGUCAAGUAUUCCUACACCAUGCUUAUAUCAGCUGCUGCAUGUGGUGGUUGUAAGGUAUG